rnacentral:rRNA from 1 species
AUGGAGGCGCAAGUGCCUAGGCCCCUCAUGGUGAUGGCCCUCCUCCCCUUGCGGCGGCUCAUUUUCCUCCUCUGCUUCUUCUCCGCUCUGCCACGCCGCUGCCGCUUCCUCUCCGCCGAGGCGGCUCCGACGCUCGUCGCCAGCCUUCCAGGCUUCGAUGGCCCCCUCCCGUUCCGACUUGAGACCGGGUACGUGACCGUGGACGAGCAGAACGGCUCGGAGCUGUUCUACUACUUCAUCGAGUCGGAGGGCGACCCGCGGCGUGACCCGGUCAUCCGGCGGCGACCGCUGCAGCGUCCUCAGUGUGUUGCUGUUCGAGAUAGGCCCGUUGAAAUUAAUCGGAGAGCCCUACGAUGGCACCAUACCGCGGCUGCGGUACCACCCCUACGCAUGGACCAAAGUUGCCAGUGUCCUGUUCGUGGACUCGCCGGUCGGCGUCGGGUUCUCCUUCUCCCGGGACCCCAGGGGCUAUGA